rfam:Amycolatopsis australiensis strain DSM 44671 genome assembly, contig: Ga0074771_106
GCCGGUUCAGUCCGACCCCCCGGGGCUGAACCCACGGCGGCCCCCGUCCCUCCCCCCUGGCGGGGGCCGCCCUCU